UUCAUUAUUUUAAGGAAACCCGGCAAAGACUUAGCAAAAAAAAUUUAACUCUCCCUCUCAAACUCUCAAAAUUCACUCUCAAUUUUUUUUUCCUUUGUUUCAAAUCUGUCGAGGUUCUCUCUCAAUACAAAACCCUUAUCUCAAUCUUUUGACCCUAAUCUCAAAAUCUCCCUACUCUUCCGUUCUCUUCUUUCUCCCUCCUCUUCCUUUCUCUAUGGCCAUUUAAUCCCGACCUUCCACCAGAUCUGCUCGCUGUGCUCCGCCCCAAAUCGACUAAGGUCCUCUCUCCGUGACGGAAUCGUAGGCUCUGUUCUUAUCAAUUAUCAUUUUUCGAAUCAGGGAUUUAGCUCUGCGGCAGUGUUAAUCUGAGAUUGGUGCUGGUCGCUACAUAUUGUGAUGGCUUCUAACGAUGGUAAGCCCUUCUGGAUGAAACACGCAGAAGACGCCCAAAUCAAGGACCAAGGAGUGAAAGAUGCCGCCGCCAAAGCAGCUUUCGAAGCCACAUUCCAAGGCGUCGAUAGUGAUAGCCUCAUUAUUGUUUCUCGUGUGGUGUUUGAUGCAACAAGAUUUGUCUCAGCCAUAAUGUAAAUAGAAACCCAUAUUCCCUUUUGCUUAAAGCUUCCAACUUUAAGUUUCGAUCUUGACAUUAGCUUUCCUUCCUACCGCAAUCAGAAAAGUUGCUUUUGGAGGUGUAGAGCUUGUGAGUCAACCUCCAUGGCGAUCUGAGCAGACAGGAACAUCAACUGCUUUUGCUCUCCCUGGUCCUGAAGGUUCCAAGAGUGUUCAAAAGGGUGUGACAGAGCAUGCUCUUGUUGUUGGUCCAACUCUACAGCCAAAACUCUUUCAGGUGUUGUUAACCUUUGCUGUUUAUUCGAGUAGUGUUUUUGACUCGUGCUUAAUUAUUAUUUUCACAGCUCAUCCAGGUGCACUUGGGUUGGGUUACUGGAGCAUAAAUUGUGCUUUAGCUCUUGAGAAAGAAAGUAUGAGCUGCAAAGAGACAGUAGGUUUAGAUGCUUGAGAAAGUGGUGAUGGAAUCAUUGAAGGACUUGGAAGUGCAAAGCCAAGAGAAACAAGAAGCUCCUGAGGCGAGUUCAUGGCGGCCUUGCCUUUAUCACUGCAGAGACUGAUUCUGCUUCCAGUCCGACAACAUAGCUUGCUUACCAGAGGAGGAGAAGAAGAAGCUCCUGUGUUGCAAUUUUGAUAUCAAAUAAAAUUUUGGUUUAGUUUUUGUUUAGGUUUGGUUAUUUUUUAAACAAUUUGAUAUCAAAUAAUAUUUUUUCAAAAUAUUUUUAUUUUGUAAACAAUUUUGAUAUAUAAUUUUUUUUUUAUUUUUUAAUAA